rnacentral:lncRNA from 1 species
GUGUGUGUGUGUGUGUGUGUGUGUGUGUGUGUGUGUAUGAGAGAGAGAGACAGAGACAGAGACAGAGACAGACUUGGCCAUUGAGAAAUUGCCUUAACUUCUAUGGAGAAGACAAGAAAGUUCUAAUCUUAGACAUGGCCUUUCCCCUUUGCCAGGGUUUCUGUGGAGGAAUCUUGAAGGAUGGGGUCAAGGAUUCCUAUGGCUAGAAUAGUCCAUUGCCUAGAAAACUGUGGACUAAUGCACAUGUUUGAGAAGCAGAUCCCCAUGAAAAGCUGGGCUUUGGUGAUGGCAGUUAACAACAGGGAGCUAAACCACCUGUCGGUUGGCUGUGACAUCCACAAAGGCCUCAGAAGGACAAGAGUAGUCAUGUUCAUAUGGAGACAGGACCCAGGAGAAAGGAGAGGACCAAUAACUGUCUCCAGGAAUCUCUAACUGCAAUGUUAGAGGUGGUCAGACCAGGUUGCAUCUUGCCAGGAGAAGAGGAAGGGAUCCAGAUGGCUGUACCUCUCUCUCUCAGGAAAUGCCUGACUGUCCCUGUAUCAGAUCUAGGAUGUCCAGCACAGCUGUGCAGACUUCCCAUGCCCCAAAUCCCUUGAGGUCUUUUAAAGAGGAAGGGAUUGGGCAGUGGUGGCAACUCGUACCUAAUCACACCUGGACCACUUCCUUCCUGGGCUUGCACCCUGCUUCCUGACCCUGCUCGGCCUGUGUGUGCACAGGAGAAAGAGGGGGCAGAUGGGCUGGGAGAGAUCACGUGGAAGCAGGGUGCCAUCCAUGGAAAAGGAACAGUAAUGGGACUCAGGGCCUGGACUUUUAGCUGGAGUAGCUGACGUGACCAUUUUUACUAAAUGUUUCAGUUUGCACACACACAAACCCCUGCCCCGCAACUCCCCCCUCCCCGCCACGUUUCCACUGGGUGGUGCUAUAAGAAUUCCUACCUUUUUGCCUCAGGAGUUUCCCCCUUCCCAGAAAGCCGCCUCUGCGACAUAAUAGAAGGAAGUCCUGAUUUAGAAAGGUUUUACAGUUUCAACACAAUGAGAGAGUUGGAGGAUGCUCUGGCAGGAAGUGCCCCAGUUGCUGGAUGUGGAAAAACCGCCAUCACUGUGUGUCCUGCAGAAAUGAUCUCAGUGCACGGGGCUUGUGUUUUUUACUUCCACCAGUCGCCUCUUUAGCACAAAAAAAGUCUUCUGAGAGACGCCAGUUUUCCGUCUCCCAGAAGUAGCAUAGAAGAUGGCCCUUAGUUUAUUUUUUUUAAUGUAAAACCAUCUUCAAGUAUCAAAGUGAAUAAGCCAUCCCUAAUCUUAAAUCAAGCAUAGAGGUCCCUACGUCCCCCCUGAAUGCACAGGACUGGACUUAUUCACAUUGUAAGCUAGGAAAUUUGGAGAAAGGUUUACCAGCCCAGCCAAGGAAAGACACCCAGUGUUGUUUGCGGGGAGGCGUGCCCACCUCUUUACAGUGAAGCGCAAAUUUAAAGACAGCCGGAGAGAUUCUAGUAAGUUAAACUGUCUGUCUCUGUGUGAUGAAAAGUUACCAAGGCUGCUCUGUGUACCAGGUCCCUUCCACGGGUGACCACACACAGGCCAGUGGCUCCUAGGCUGUUCUCCACCGAAGGAACGAUUCUCCUGACUGAAUUCUGAGUACCACGAACCGUUGGUGUUUGGGGAUAGGUCUCGCUUCCAUCGUCAGGUUCCACAAUCCUUGUGAAAUAAAAGGACCAGUCCUUCCAAGUCUCAGUUCUGGAAUUCACAGAGCCUCGUGUCCUGAGUUUUCAUUAAGAGCCAACCUCGAGCUAGGCCUGGUGGCACAGGCCUGAAAUCCCAGCUCCUCAGGAGGCUGUGUCACGCACGUACAUUGCAAAUUCAAGGUCAACUCAGAAUCCACAGAGAAUUCUGGAUCAGCCUGCACCUUACUCAGAUUUUGACUCAAAAAUGUAAAAAAGCGCAGAGCCGGAGAGAUGGACCUCUGGAAGAGCAGCCAGUGCCCUUAACCACUGAGCCACCUCUCCAGCCCUACAAACCCUAUUGACCUAUGUUCAAACAUACACACGUUUAGAUCUAUAUGAAGAAACAUGGAUAGACUAUUUUACCCCAGGGAGUUCUCAAAAAGGGUUCAUGGGUCAAAUGCACAAGAAGCUCCUUCCCUGUGCCUGGGAUGAUGUGUGUAUUCACAUUUAUUUUAGAUGUGAUAUUGUAUGUUUUAGGUGGAAUAUAUGAGAUUGUUGCUGUUUAACAGUUUCCAUCCAUAAGAACAACAAUUUCAUGUCCUUCCGCCUGGUAGAUCCCGAUGCUGUGGGGAAACACGACUUGGAAUAACCUCACGAUGAGACCGGCUAUUUGAUGAGGUGCACAUUUACAGUUCCCUUUCCUGUUAUGCAUCAAAGCCUGGCAAAUUAAAACUCAUCAGGCAGCCUGUAAAUCUACUUACCCAGAAUGACUUGUGUUGUGCCUGAUGUUAUGAAAUCGUCUUAAGCUCUCACUGGAGAGGCGAUUGAAUUCAUGGGAUUGGUUGCUCGGGAGAAGCCAAAAAUCCUACAGGAGCCUUCUGAGCCGCAGGCACACGGCUGUUCUUUCAGAGAGCGGUUCGGGCCCGUCGUGCGGAGGGUUAAAAUAGAGCUGACACACAGACCGAGUGAAACCAGAGCUGCAGUUACAAAGUGGGACAGAUGUGGGAGGGUCAGGUUUCCUGUGGUCCGUUUUCCAGUUUCCUGCCUGCAACCUGCAGAAGAAGAGGAAGCUCAGUGUUAGCAAGCCGGAGAGCCCUCGGAUGGGGGGCUGUGCCGCCAGCCAGAAAUAAGAGUCGCGCAAAGAACCCGGGACAAUAAAAACAAUAGCGCAGAAAGUAAAUGGUCAGGUUCUCUUCCAGAAACGUCUGGAAAGGAACGGCCUUCUGUUUAAAGAAAAACAUUCUCGCCAUCCCUGGGGCAGGG